GACGAACGCUGGCGGCAUGCCUAACACAUGCAAGUCGAACGAAACCUUCGGGUCUUUUGGCGCACGGCUGCUUAACGCGUGGGAAUCUGCCCUUGGGUUCGGACUACCUGUUUGACACGACUGCUAAUGCCGGAUGAUCACGUAAGUCCAAUGAUUUAUCGCCCCAGGAUGAGCCCGCGUAAGAUUCGCUGGUUGGGAAGGUAAUAGCUCAUCACGGCGCGGAUGCUUAGCUGGUAUGAGAGGAUGAGUAGCGACACUGGGGCUGAGACACGGCCCAGAAUCCUACGCAAGGGGGGAGAGGGGGAUAUAGGACAAUGGGGGAAGGGCUGAAAGAGCAAGGACGGGUAAGUGAUGAAGGCAGUAGGGAAGUAAUGCGAUAUUACCCGGGAAGAUAAUGACGGUACCGGGAGAAUAAGCUCCGGCUAACUACGUG
rnacentral:rRNA from 1 species